UAAAACAAAUAUUGAAAACAACACUGGUGGUGGCAGCAGUGAGUGGCUGUGAGAGGCAGCCAGUGUGAGGGCAGGAGAGCCCGAAAUGCAAUGAGGUUUGUAGUACCUGCUUCCCAUCACACUGCUUGCCACUGAUAGCCACUCACCUCUGCAGCUAACAGUUAUUUGUUAAUAGUAAUUUUAUUUCUUUCAAAGCAGGAUAGUGCUAUUUCAGCAUUACAGACAGGAAAAUAUAUAUAAAAGAUCAUACUGCAAAGCUUCACUGCAGCCUAAAACCUGUGAUCCUGACAUCCAUUACUUGACAAACCCCAUAGACACAUUUUACUCUGACAGAGGCAAGCACACAUGCUAAAACAAUAAAAAUAAAUCACAUCCACAAUUUACAUAAAAUAAAUAGCCCCCUCAAAGCUGUUGCUUUCCACACAAAAAACAAGCUUCCUAGCCAAAAAAAAGAGCACGCUCAGCUGCACAUUACGUGUACAGCUAUUUUUAAAAGCAUACCAAACUCAACACAAAUCCAGGAGUUUUUCAAUGUGUAACCACACCCUAUGUCAGAAAUAACACUCACUGAACUCAGACAAAUUUGCUUUGGAUUAAACAUGUAAUGCAUUUAAUAUAAAUAUUUCCAAGGAGCAAUAUGUUAAAAACCAAGAACUGAGUGGACCGAAGAAUUAACAAAUUGUCAAAGGCUAAGCAUGCUGAAAAUUAAAGUGGAAGCUGCACAAAUAUAUCUAUCUAUAUGUGUAGCAUAUCAUAUUUAGGGAUAAAAACUCAUCACAUAUCACAAGACAUUUUAAUUGUACAUCCAUAUGGAAUAUAGCACCUCUACUGAACACCUUGGAUCUCCCGUCCAAUCCCACUGACUUGCUCCUUAAAUUGCAUCUGCUUAAAUUCUACCUUCUACAAAAAAAAAUUAGAGACAUGAUAACUUCCCUGUCUCCUGCUGUGAGAAGCCAGGAGUUCUGGAAACAUUUCAACCCAUUUAAACAAACAUCAGACUAGAUGAAGGCACUUCUUAUGACUGAAGUCACCUCCCUGCACUCUUUCUCCACAGGGAGGAGCAAAGAGGAUCGCACCUGCAGGAUCAGCCUCAAUACCUGAAAAAGGGCCA
rnacentral:lncRNA from 1 species